UCCAACGGUAGAGCAACUGUCUCGUAAUCAGUGGGUUGCAGGUUCAAAUCCUGUUUUCAGC
rnacentral:tRNA from 1 species